rnacentral:rRNA from 1 species
UGGGGAAUUUUGCACAAUGGGGGAAACCCUGAUGCAGCGACGCCGCGUGAUUUAGAAGGCCUUCGGGUUGUAAAAAUCUUUUCUAUGGGAAGAAAAUGACAGUACCAUAGGAAUAAGGACCGGCUAAUUACGUGCCAGCAGCCGCGGUAAUACGGAAGGUUCGGGCGUUAUCCGGAUUUAUUGGGUUUAAAGGGAGCGUAGGCCGUUUGGUAAGCGUGUUGUGAAAUGUAGGAGCUCAACUUCUAGAUUGCAGCGCGAACUGUCAGACUUGAGUGCGCACAACGUAGGCGGAAUUCAUGGUGUAGCGGUGAAAUGCUUAGAUAUCAUGAAGAACUCCGAUUGCGAAGGCAGCUUACGGGAGCGCAACUGACGCUGAAGCUCGAAGGUGCGGGUAUCGAACAGG